ACACACAUCUCAUCUGCUCAUACCCAAACCUUCAUCUAUAGGUAUAGAUACUCCUACCCUAACCUUCGUCUACAAGUAUAGAUACUCCUACCCUAACCUUCAUCUACAGGUAACUCCUACCUAAACCUUCAUCUACAGGUAACUCCUACCCUAACCUUCAUCUAUAGGUAUAGAUACUCCUGCCCUAACCUUCAUCUAUAGGUACAGAUACUCCUGCCCUAACCUUCAUCUACAGGUAACUACUACCCUAACCUUUAUCUACAGGUAUAGAUACUCCUAACCUUCAUCUACAGGUAUAGAUACCCCUAACCUUCAUCUAUAGGUAUAGAAACUCCUAACCUUCAUCAAUAAGUAUAGAUACUCCUAACCUUCAUCUACAAGUAUAGAUACUCCAAACCUUCAUCUACAGGUAUAGAUACUCCAACCCUAACCUUCAUCUACAGGUAACUACUACCCUAAGCUUUAUCUACAUGUAUAGAUACUCCUAACCUUUAUCUACAGGUAUAGAUACUCCUAACCUUUAUCUACAGGUAUAGAUACUCCUAACCUUUAUCUACAGGUAUAGAUACUCCUAACCUUCAUCUACAGGUAUAGAUACUCCUAACCUUCAUCUACAGGUAUAGCUACUCCUACCCUAACCUUCAUCUACAGGUAUAGAUAUUCCAACCCCAACCUUCAUCUAUAAGUAUAAAUACACCUACCCUAACCUUCACCUACAAGUAUAUAUACUCCAACCCUGACCUUCAUCUACAAGUAUAGAUACUCUUCACCUUCAUCUACAGGUAUAGAUACUCCUAACCUUCAUCUGCAGGUAUAGAUACAACUAACCUUCAUCUACAAGUAUAGAUACUCCAAACCUUCAUCUACAAGUAUAGAUACUCCAAACCUUCAUCUACAAGUAUAGAUACUCCAACCCUAACCUUCAUCUACAGGUAUAGAUACUCAUAACCUUCAUCUACAAGUAUAGAUACUCCAAACCUUCAUUUACAGGUAUAGAUAUUCCAACCCCAACCUUCAUCUAUAAGUAUAGAUACACCUACCCUAACCUUCAUCUACAAGUAUAGAUACUCCUAACCUUCAUCUGCAGCUAUAGA